AGGGUUUUAGAUUAAAAAUAAAAAUCGAGAGCCUUCAAAGCUCUAGUUGGGCUAUAAAGUUGCUCAGACCUUG
rnacentral:tRNA from 1 species